CCUUACUGAUGGCAGAUGUCGGAUCUGCCUCGCUUAUACGUGCCCUUACUGAUGGCAGAUGUCGGGUCUGCCUCGCUUAU
ensembl:miRNA